GCCUGUGUACGCGUGGGAUCUACCUAUUUUCUACGGAAUAACGCAGGGAAACUUGUGCUAAUACCGUAUAAGCCCUUCGGGGGAAAGAUUUAUCGGGAAAGGAUGAGCCCGCGUUGGAUUAGCUAGUUGGUGGGGUAAAGGCCUACCAAGGCGACGAUCCAUAGCUGGUCUGAGAGGAUGAUCAGCCACAUUGGGACUGAGACACGGCCCAAACUCCUACGGGAGGCAGCAGUGGGGAAUAUUGGACAAUGGGCGCAAGCCUGAUCCAGCCAUGCCGCGUGAGUGAUGAAGGCCCUAGGGUUGUAAAGCUCUUUCACCGGUGAAGAUAAUGACGGUAACCGGAGAAGAAGCCCCGGCUAACUUCGUGCCAGCAGCCGCGGUAAUACGAAGGGGGCUAGCGUUGUUCGGAAUUACUGGGCGUAAAGCGCACGUAGGCGGACAUUUAAGUCAGGGGUGAAAUCCCAGAGCUCAACUCUGGAACUGCCUUUGAUACUGGGUGUCUAGAGUAUGGAAGAGGUGAGUGGAAUUCCGAGUGUAGAGGUGAAAUUCGUAGAUAUUCGGAGGAACACCAGUGGCGAAGGCGGCUCACUGGUCCAUUACUGACGCUGAGGUGCGAAAGCGUGGGGAGC
rnacentral:rRNA from 1 species